CCCUUAGAUGUCCGGGGCUGCACGCGCGCUACACUGUAGAAAGCAGCGUGCUUUAAAACCUUUCCUGAAAAGGAUGGGUAACCCCAGCAAAAUUCUACGUGUUUGGGAUAGAGAUUUGCAAUUUUCUCUCUUGAACGAGGAAUUCCCAGUAAGUGCGAGUCAUCAGCUCGCGUUGAUUACGUCCCUGCCCUUUGUACACACCGCCCGUCGCUACUACCGAUUGGGAAAAUUUUAGAGAGUCCUGGACUGAUGAUUGUUCGGCUUCACGGCCUUACUUUCGUCGGGAAAGAAUUCGAUAAUAUUUUUCUAGAGGAAGUAAAAGUCGUAACA
rnacentral:rRNA from 1 species